rnacentral:rRNA from 1 species
GUCCAAACUCCUACGGGAGGCAGCAGUGGGGAAUAUUGCACAAUGGGCGAAAGCCUGAUGCAGCAACGCCGCGUGAGUGAUGAAGGCCUUCGGGUCGUAAAACUCUGUCCUCAAGGAAGAUAAUGACGGUACUUGAGGAGGAAGCCCCGGCUAACUACGUGCCAGCAGCCGCGGUAAUACGUAGGGGGCUAGCGUUAUCCGGAUUUACUGGGCGUAAAGGGUGCGUAGGCGGUCUUUCAAGUCAGGAGUGAAAGGCUACGGCUCAACCGUAGUAAGCUCUUGAAACUGGGAGACUUGAGUGCAGGAGAGGAGAGUGGAAUUCCUAGUGUAGCGGUGAAAUGCGUAGAUAUUAGGAGGAACACCAGUUGCGAAGGCGGCUCUCUGGACUGUAACUGACGCUGAGGCACGAAAGCGUGGGGAGCAAACAGGAUUAGAUACCCUGGUAGUCCACGCUGUAAACGAUGAGUACUAGGUGUCGGGGGUUACCCCCUUCG